rnacentral:rRNA from 1 species
UACGUAGGGGGCAAGCGUUGUCCGGAAUCAUUGGGCGUAAAGAGCGCGUAGGCGGUCCGAUAAGUCGGUUGUGAAAACUGGGGGCUCAACCCUCAGAGGCCGACCGAUACUGUCGGGCUAGAGUCCGGAAGAGGCGAGUGGAAUUCCUGGUGUAGCGGUGAAAUGCGCAGAUAUCAGGAGGAACACCAAUGGCGAAGGCAGCUCGCUGGGACGGUACUGACGCUGAGGAGCGAAAGCAUGGGGAGCAAACAGG